CGUUGUGCUCUUCGAGCUAGUGAUCGGAAAACGUGCCGUUAGUUUAGCCAUGUUCGGAGAACCAGCCGACCAUGUGUGAUGGCUUCACUUAAGGGUUCAAACACAGAAGUACAAGAGACCUUCAACUCCUACUUAAAGUACGAAGACCCAAAGAAGGCACUGCACCGCACUCCUUUUUGAGCAGGAAUCAUACUUCUCAGGAACCGAGGUAAUCAAUGGCCUCCAACCUGAACUUCUGUAUUGCCUGUCUAUGAUGAAAGUCCCCACCAGUCUGUAAUCCUUAUAUCGAUUCACCUGUCGAUACCGUCGACUUCAUCAAUGUCUCAGUUAGAUUAUCCACCUUUGACUUCACGUCAACCUGCGAAGGUUUAUGUGGUGUGAGGAUGCUACAGCGCUUGAUCAUGUGAUCGCUUCAGCUUCUGCUUCGCAUUGUGGAUCCAAUACUUCAAAGUCUUGGGUGUUACACCUGGAACAAGGCAACGGUCAUUUCUUGUGUGAGUGGCGCUUGACAGAUACUUGAGAAGUUUUCAGAGAAUACUGAUCAUUCCAAGUUGACGAGAGAGCAGCAGUUGCAUUCGGGAGGCUGUUACCGAUAUCUUUGCAGGCUGCGGCGAUAUUUUCUUUGCGCUGGCCAACGAUUGUCCAUCCAGCGUGCUCAGCAGAUUCUGUCUACUUGGAGCAGGUUGCUUUGGAUGUGGAGGUGGGAAGGGGACAGCUGUAAUUGAGCCCUUCUUCGAUGCUCUUUAUUCAUGACCGGGCUUACCUCGGACGACAAUCGGCCAUGAUCUGGAACACUAGG